rnacentral:rRNA from 1 species
GACGAACGCUGGCGGCGUGCUUAACACAUGCAAGUCGAACGGAAAGGCUCCAGCUUGCUGGAGUACUCGAGUGGCGAACGGGUGAGUAACACGUGGGUAAUCUGCCCUGCACUCUGGGAUAAGCCUGGGAAACUGGGUCUAAUACUGGAUAUGACCUUUCUCCUUAUGGGGCUUGGUGGAAAGUUUUUCGGUGUAGGAUGAGCCCGCGGCCUAUCAGCUUGUUGGUGGGGUGAUGGCCUACCAAGGCGACGACGGGUAGCCGGCCUGAGAGGGUGAUCGGCCACAUUGGGACUGAGAUACGGCCCAGACUCCUACGGGAGGCAGCAGUGGGGAAUAUUGCACAAUGGGCGGAAGCCUGAUGCAGCGACGCCGCGUGAGGGAUGACGGCCUUCGGGUUGUAAACCUCUUUCAGCAGGGACGAAGCGUAAGUGACGGUACCUGCAGAAGAAGCACCGGCUAACUAUGUG